CAAUCCAUGAGUAAAGUGGCGACCGGGUGAGUAACACGUGACCAAUCUACCCUUGAGUGGGGGAUAACCUCGGGAAACCGGGGCUAAUACCGCAUAAUAUCCUUGGAACGGAAGUACUGGGGAUCAAAGGAGCAAUUCGCUUAAGGAGGAGGUCGCGGCUGAUUAGCUAGUUGGCGGGGUAAUGGCCCACCAAGGCAAAGAUCGGUAGCCGGCCUGAGAGGGCGCACGGCCACACUGGAACUGAAACACGGUCCAGACUCCUACGGGAGGCAGCAGUGGGGAAUUUUGCGCAAUGGGGGAAACCCUGACGCAGCAACGCCGCGUGGAGGAUGAAGUCCCUUGGGACGUAAACUCCUUUCGACCCGGACGAUAAUGACGGUACGGGUGGAAGAAGCCCCGGCUAACUUCGUGCCAGCAGCCGCGGUAAUACGAGGGGGGCAAGCGUUGUUCGGAAUUAUUGGGCGUAAAGGGCGCGUAGGCGGUGCGGUAAGUCACCUGUGAAACCUCUAGGCUUAACCUAGAGCCUGCAGGCGAAACUGCCGUGCUUGAGGGUGGGAGAGGUGCGUGGAAUUCCCGGUGUAGCGGUGAAAUGCGUANAUAUCGGGAGGAACACCUGUGGCGAAAGCGGCGCACUGGACCACAUCUGACGCUGAGGCGCGAAAGCUAGGGGAGCAAACAGGAUUAGAUACCCUGGUAGUCCUAGCCCUAAACUAUGGAUGCUUGGUGUGGCCGGUACCCAAUCCGGCCGUGCCGAAGCUAACGCGAUAAGCAUCCCGCCUGGGGAGUACGGUCGCAAGGCUGAAACUC
rnacentral:rRNA from 1 species